rnacentral:rRNA from 1 species
UACAGAGGUCUCAAGCGUUGUUCGGAUUCAUUGGGCGUAAAGGGUGCGUAGGUGGCGCGCUAAGUCAGGUGUGAAAUUUCGGAGCUUAACUCCGAAACUGCAUUUGAUACUGUCGUGCUUGAGGACUGGAGAGGAGACUGGAAUUCAUGGUGUAGCAGUGAAAUGCGUAGAGAUCAUGAGGAAGACCAGUGGCGAAGGCGGGUCUCUGGACAGUUCCUGACACUGAGGCACGAAGGCCAGGGGAGCAAACGGG